UACGUAGGGGGCAAGCGUUAUCCGGAUUUACUGGGUGUAAAGGGAGCGUAGACGGCCAGACAAGUCUGAAGUGAAAAUCCAGCGCUUAACGUUGGAAGUGCUUUGGAAACUGCCGGGCUAGAGUGCAGGAGGAGCAGGCGGAAUUCCUAGUGUAGCGGUGAAAUGCGUAGAUAUUAGGAGGAACACCAGUGGCGAAGGCGGCCUGCUGGACUGCAACUGACGUUGAGGCUCGAAGGCGUGGGGAGCAAACAGG
rnacentral:rRNA from 1 species